UCCUGUACUUAGUCAAAAAAGGUAUCAAAAUGAAGUGUCUGUUUAUGUUAGCCGUUUUGUUGCCUUUUGUUUUUGGAGCUCCCCAAGAAAGAUUUUUGAUUGGCAACAUUCAAAUACAUCUACCAGAACUUCACUUAGACCAAGUCACACAGUUAGUUGAAGGGUUCGCUCAUUCUGGUAUGGGACAAACAGCUUGUGUAACGGCUUGUGCAUCUGCGGUUUCAGCGACAGGAGUUGGGGCCAUAUUGACUCCUCUGUGCCCUUCAGCCUGUGUAGCUGUCCUCAAACAAGUGAAAUAGGCAUCAGAAAACUAUGGGAAACAUUUAUUGAAUAAAAGCUCAAUUUUUUUUAAA